UCAGUCUUUACACACUCAAGUAAAUGCAAGACCCAAUGUGGAUCCCCUUUCUCAAGAUAGGUGAUCUACAAGUACUUCAGUUUGGUCCUCAUCCUGAAUAUGAACCCCCAAUCUAUCCAAACCGAGCCUGCUCUACAAAAGGAGAGGGAUGGAUGACAGCCCUGAACUUCUUACAUUCUUCACAUUCCUCUUGA
rnacentral:lncRNA from 1 species